AUGACACGACCCGCUUUUGACCCAGCGGACUCGGACCUUUUUGAGCGGCAGGAGGCAGCGCUCUCCAUCUGGACGGAGAAGCUCAAGGGGAAACAGCGGCUCUUCGCGGAGCAAGAGCACCUCUUCGAGGGAACUCGCCUGGCUCUGGGCGGGCCUCGGAGACGCCGCGUUCCCCCACCUGCUGCCUCACCUGCACCGGAGCAUUCGCCGCGGAGAGCGGACGUUUCACGCCGCGCUGCGGCCGUUCCCUCUCUCGCGGGUCCGCUCCUCGCUCACACACCAUCCGCCUUAUUCACCGGAGCUUCCACUUCGCCACGGCACAGCUGCUACGCCUCCCACCUCGGUUCAACAGAGGCUACCGCGCCAGAGGCUCAUCUGUUUACCCCGCCUGCUUCCUCUUCCCAGAGAAAGCGGCGUUCACGCCGCCAUAAAACGGACUAUUCCCAGCAGCUCCCGGCGGUGAGUCCCAGUGACUGUUUGCCUCUUUCCUCAUUUGAUUCGUCACAUAACAUGCAUAAUGGACUCUUCUCCGAUCCAUGGGGGACUUCCCUCGUAGACGAUGAUGUGGACUGGGAAGACCUUUUCUGCUCUGCUUCCCCAAAGACAGCUCAGUUAAAGACUGUAAAUAGCGAUGGCAGGAAGACCAGACCGAAACCCGUUAGACCUGUCAGUGUCACUCACCCAGUUGUUAUGUCCACUCCUAUCAGCCAGCCUACACCCACACCUGUGCCAGCUCCCAGGAGGAGGGCAGCUGCGACCCAGUCUACCUCCGCACCCGCUCCUGUUUCUCGGGUGGGGGUGACUGGUGUCCAGCCACCUCCCGUGCCUGUCCCAGCGCCUAGGCUGAAGGCAGCUAGAACCCAGCCUGACCUCCCUAGAGUCUCGGAAGAGCUAGCCUCUCCGUCUGCUACUUCACCUCCUCAUCCACCUCCUGAUCCAGCCUUUCACGCCCUCGCAUUAUCACUGGUUAAGCUAGCUGAGGUUUCUCCUGCUCAGGCACCAGCGUUACUAGCCCAGGCUAUAGCUUUAUCUCCCUCACUAGCACAGUCUAUAGCUCAGCCACCAGCCACACCAACCACAGCUCCGUCGUCAGCCUCACCCACCUCUAUUCAUCCCUUAGCAUCCCCACUCCAGUCAGUCCACUCACCUGCUGUUCAGCUUCUAGCCCAGUCAGUCCACGCUCCUGCUGUUCAUCUCCCGGUCCAGCCAGUUCACUCCCCUGUAGUUCAGUCACCUGCUCUCGUCCAGUCUCCUGUAGCUCAGUCACCUGCUCUCGUCCAGUCACCUGUAGCUCAGUCGCCUGCUCCACUCCAGUCAGUAGUACAGCCUGCUCCACUCCAGUCAGUAGUACAGCCUGCUCCACUCCAGUCAGUAGUACAGCCUGCUCCACUCCAGUCAGCCCCUGUCCAGUCAGCCCCUGUCCAGUCAGCCCCUGUCCAGUCAGCCCCUGUCCAGUCAGCCCCUGUCCAGUCAGCCCCUGUAGCUCAGUCUGUCCAACCGUCUCCAGCCCAGUCUGUAGUCCAGUCCUCUCCAGCCCAGUCUGUAGUCCAGUCCUCUCCAGCCCAGUCUGUAGUCCAGUCCUCUCCAGCCCAGUCUGUAGUCCAGUCCUCUCCAGCCCAGUCUGUAGUCCAGUCCUCUCCUGUCCAGUCUGUAGUCCAGUCCUCUCCUGUCCAGUCUGUAGUCCAGUCCUCUCCUGUCCAGUCUGUAGUCCAGUCCUCUCCUGUAGUCCAGUCCUCUCCUGUGGUUCAGUCUCCUCCUGUCCUCCAGUCCUCUCCUGUGGUUCAGUCUCCUCCUGUCCUCCAGUCCUCUCCUGUAGUUCAGUCUCCUCCUGUCCUCCAGUCCUCUCCUGUAGUUCAGUCUCCUCCUGUCCUCCAGUCCUCUCCUGUAGUUCAGUCUCCUCCUGUCCUCCAGUCCUCUCCUGUAGUUCAGUCUCCUCCUGUCCUCCAGUCCUCUCCUGUAGUUAAGUCUCCUCCUGUCCUCCAGUCCCCCGUUCUCCAGUCGCCUCCUGUCCAGUCAGUCCAGUCGCCCCCCGUAGCUCAGUGCCCUGCUCCCCGGUUGCCUCCUGUCACCCAGUCACCUGUCCUCCAGCCUGUCCAGUCAGUUCAGUCUGUCGUCCAGCAUCCUGUUAUUCAGUCAUCCGUUCUCUCACCGUCUGUAGUCCACUCUCCUGUUCAGUCCCCAGACCAGCAGCCACAGCAUCCAGAGCCAGCUGUGAGCUCUCCCGCACCUCAGCCAGGGGUUUCCGCACCCGCUGGCCCGGCCGCACCUCAGCCAGGGGUUUCCGCACCCGCUGGCCCGGCCGCACCUCAGCCAGGGGUUUCCGCACCCGCUGGCCCGGCCGCACCUCAGCCAGGGGUUUCCGCACCCGCUGGCCCGGCCGCACCUCAGCCAGGGGUUUCCGCACCCGCUGGCCCGGCCGCACCUCAGCCAGGGGUUUCCGCGCCUCCUGGCCCUGCCCGUCUCCAGCCAGAGGCCUCCGCUUCACCCUCGCCUGGCCCGGCCUCGGCCUCCGCUUCACCCUCGCCUGGCCGGCCUCGGCCUCCGCUUCACCCUCGCCUGGCCCGGCCUCGGCCUCCGCUUCACCCUCGCCUGGCCCGGCCUCGGCCUCCGCUUCACCCUCGCCUGGCCCGGCCUCGGCCUCAGCUUCAUCUGCUCCAUCACUGCCGGCUCCCAUGCAGUCGCCUGGCACAGCCUUGGCCUCGGCUUCCGCUCCGCCUGGUCCAGACUCAGCUUCGCCUGGUCCUGCGGCUGCCACGCCGCCGCCCGAGCCUGCACCUCGGAAUCGCUGGCCACUUUCCAGGCCAACAGCUGGACGUCAUCGCCAGCGUGGUCGACCACCGGACCUCCUCAGUGGCCGCCGCCGUCUUCCUCGCGGCCGCCCACCGGACCUCCUCCUCAGUGGCCGCCGCCGUCUUCCUCGCGGCCGCCCACCGGAUCACCUCCUCAGUGGCCGCCGCCGCCCUCCUCGCGGCCGCCCACCGGACCGACUUCAGCGUCGCCGCCUUCCUCGCGGCCGCCCACCUGAACUGUCCGGGCUCAGCCACUGGCCGCAUGGCCGCCCACCUGAACUGUCCGGGCUCAGCCACUGGCCGCGUGGCCGCCCACCUGACCUGUUUUUGUUGUGGACUCCGUCCCUCCAUCCUGGGCCCCCUCCGCCCACCCUGUUCUGGUUUUUCUUUCUUUUGGCCGUCGGGUGCCGGCCUUUGA
ensembl:lncRNA